UGGGGAAUAUUGGACAAUGGGGGAAACCCUGAUCCAGCAAUGCCGCGUGAGUGAAGAAGGCCUUAGGGUUGUAAAGCUCUUUCGCCCGCGAAGAUAAUGACGGUAGCGGGAGAAGAAGCCCCGGCUAACUCCGUGCCAGCAGCCGCGGUAAUACGGAGGGGGCUAGCGUUGUUCGGAAUUACUGGGCGUAAAGCGUACGUAGGCGGAUGCGCAAGUUGGGGGUGAAAUCCCGGGGCUUAACCUCGGAAUUGCCCUCAAAACUGCAUGUCUUGAGACAGAGAGAGGGAAGGGGAAUUCCUAGUGUAGAGGUGAAAUUCGUAGAUAUUAGGAAGAACACCAGUGGCGAAGGCGCCUUACUGGCUCGGUACUGAC
rnacentral:rRNA from 1 species